AGUGAACGCUGGCGGUAGGCCUAACACAUGCAAGUCGAACGGCAGCACAGUAAGAGCUUGCUCUUACGGGUGGCGAGUGGCGGACGGGUGAGGAAUACAUCGGAAUCUACUUUUUCGUGGGGGAUAACGUAGGGAAACUUACGCUAAUACCGCAUACGACCUACGGGUGAAAGCAGGGGAUCUUCGGACCUUGCGCGAUUGAAUGAGCCGAUGUCGGAUUAGCUAGUUGGCGGGGUAAAGGCCCACCAAGGCGACGAUCCGUAGCUGGUCUGAGAGGAUGAUCAGCCACACUGGAACUGAGACACGGUCCAGACUCCUACGGGAGGCAGCAGUGGGGAAUAUUGGACAAUGGGCGCAAGCCUGAUCCAGCCAUACCGCGUGGGUGAAGAAGGCCUUCGGAUUGUAAAGCCCUUUUGUUGGGAAAGAAAAGCAGCAGGUUAAUACCCCGCUGUUCUGACGGUACCCAAAGAAUAAGCACCGGCUAACUUCGU
rnacentral:rRNA from 1 species